rnacentral:tRNA from 2 species
GGCGGGGUAGCUCAGUUGGUUAGAGCACAGGACUCAUAAGCCUGGGGUCGGCGGUUCGACUCCGCCCCCCGCUACCA